UACGUAGGGACCAAGCGUUGUUCGGAUUUACUGGGCGUAAAGGGCGCGUAGGCGGCGCGGUAAGUCACUUGUGAAAUCUCUGAGCUUAACUCAGAACGGCCAAGUGAUACUGCAGUGCUAGAGUGUGGAAGGGGCAAUCGGAAUUCUUGGUGUAGCGGUGAAAUGCGUAGAUAUCAAGAGGAACACCUGAGGUGAAGACGGGUUGCUGGGCCAACACGUGACGCUGAUGCGCGAAAGCCAGGGGAGCAAACGGGG
rnacentral:rRNA from 1 species